rnacentral:lncRNA from 1 species
AACACAAGAAAGUUCAGAAAAGUUGUUUAAAAACAAUCUAAGCCUUCUGAACUUAUUUUAAUUAUGUAUCUUCACCACAAAUGAUCUUUUCUUCAUACCUUAGGUGUCGAUCUUUCCGAAUGAGUCUUUGUCCUCCAAUUUGAAUCUUUUCUCAAAAACUUCUGCGAUCAACUCUUCAAGACUCCAAACAACUUUACGAAAUUCGCCAACCUAUAAAAUCCUUAACAAUCUCCCCCUUUGGCGAUUUCGUGACAAAAUAUAACACAAAAUUCGUAUACAACCAAUAAGUCAUAAAAAGAAGAUCAUCGCAAUCACCAAACGAUAAUCUCCUGCAUGAUCAAUCCAAUAAACGAAAUUUACACUUUUACACCCUUAAUACAAACUCUAUGACUUAGACAUGGAGUCUUGAAGUCUUGAAUUAUUCCUGCAAAAACAUUCUCAAAGCAUAAUCAAGAUUCAAGUAUCAAGAAGUAUCAAGAAGAUCAAACAAUCAACUAAAGUUCACACUUCAUAGUUCAUAGUUAAACUAAACGAAAACACUAAGUCAAACACCUAAAGCAUUAAAACAAAGUCAAACACCUAAAGCAUUAAAACAAAGUCAUCUUAACUAAGCAAAGCCCUAAGCUAAAUGCAUCAUCAUCAUCAUUAAGACCAUCCCAUCAUCUCCCCCUUUUUGUCAGAAAACGCCAAAACGACAAAAGGAGAAGCUCGGUAAAUCCUAGUCAGA